rnacentral:rRNA from 1 species
AUUGAACGCUGGCGGCAGGCCUAACACAUGCAAGUCGAGCGGCAGCGGGAAAGUAGCUUGCUACUUUUGCCGGCGAGCGGCGGACGGGUGAGUAAUGCCUGGGAAAUUGCCCAGUCGAGGGGGAUAACAGUUGGAAACGACUGCUAAUACCGCAUACGCCCUACGGGGGAAGGCAGGGGACCUUCGGGCCUUGCGCGAUUGGAUAUGCCCAGGUGGGAUUAGCUAGUUGGUGAGGUAAUGGCUCACCAAGGCGACGAUCCCUAGCUGGUCUGAGAGGAUGAUCAGCCACACUGGAACUGAGACACGGUCCAGACUCCUACGGGAGGCAGCAGUGGGGAAUAUUGCACAAUGGGGGAAACCCUGAUGCAGCCAUGCCGCGUGUGUGAAGAAGGCCUUCGGGUUGUAAAGCACUUUCAGCGAGGAGGAAAGGUUGAUGCCUAAUACGUAUCAACUGUGACGUUACUCGCAGAAGAAGCACCGGCUAACUCCGUGCCAGCCGCCGCGGUAAAAC